GUGGGGAAUAUUGCGCAAUGGGCGAAAGCCUGACGCAGCGACGCCGCGUGAGGGAUGAAGGUUUUCGGAUCGUAAACCUCUGUCAGAAGGGAAGAAACUACAUUGUGCUAAUCAGCAGUGUACUGACGGUACCUUCAAAGGAAGCACCGGCUAACUCCGUGCCAGCAGCCGCGGUAAUACGGAGGGUGCAAGCGUUAAUCGGAAUUACUGGGCGUAAAGCGCACGUAGGCUGUAGUGUAAGUCAGGGGUGAAAUCCCACGGCUCAACCGUGGAACUGCCUUUGAUACUGCACAACUUGAAUCCGGGAGAGGGUGGCGGAAUUCCUGGUGUAGGAGUGAAAUCCGUAGAUAUCAGGAGGAACACCGGUGGCGAAGGCGGCUACCUGGACCGAUAUUGACGCUGAGACGCGAAAGCGUGGGUAGCAAACAGGAUUAGAUACCCCAGUAGUCC
rnacentral:rRNA from 1 species